GUGCACAUGAUGAUAAAAUGUCACUGAAUGUUGAACUCAAUCUAUUUUUGAGAGGGUUCGACUAAGAAGGAUGUUCGCUUUUGCGAGGCAUUUGUCUGAUGCAUGA